rnacentral:rRNA from 1 species
GCGUAACGAAGUAUGCAACCUACCUUUAUCAGGGGGAUAGCCCGGAGAAAUCCGGAUUAACACCGCAUAAAAUCACAGGAUAGCAUUAUCCAAUGAUCAAAUAUUUAUAGGAUAAAGAUGGGCAUGCGUGUCAUUAGCUAGUUGGCGGGGUAACGGCCCACCAAGGCGACGAUGACUAGGGGAUCUGAGAGGAUGGCCCCCCACACUGGUACUGAGACACGGACCAGACUCCUACGGGAGGCAGCAGUAAGGAAUAUUGGUCAAUGGAGGGAACUCUGAACCAGCCAUGCCGCGUGCAGGAAGACUGCCCUAUGGGUUGUAAACUGCUUUUAUCCGGGAAUAAACCUACUUACGUGUAAGUAGCUGAAUGUACCGGAAGAAUAAGGAUCGGCUAACUCCGUGCCAGCAGCCGCGGUAAUACGGAGGAUCCAAGCGUUAUCCGGAUUUAUUGGGUUUAAAGGGUGCGUAGGCGGCCUGUUAAGUCAGGGGUGAAAGACGGUAGCUCAACUAUCGCAGUGCCCUUGAUACUGAUGGGCUUGAAUGGACUAGAGGUAGGCGGAAUGA